rnacentral:pre_miRNA from 1 species
CUUAUACUCCCUCCGUCCGGAAAUACUUGUCAUUGAAAUGGAUGUAUCUAGAUGUAUUUUAGUUCUAGAUACAUCCAUUUUCAUCCAUUUUGAUGACAAAUAAUUCCGGACAGAGGGAGUAUUUG